rnacentral:piRNA from 1 species
UGAACCCAAGGUUUUAUGCAUGCUAAU